CCCUUAGAUGUUCUGGGCAGCACGCGCGCUACAAUGGUCUUCGCAAACGGAUGCAUUCUCGAAGGAGAAUGCCAAUCUUGGAAUCUAUGCCUUGGUCGGGACAGUUGCUUGCAAUUUUUCGACUCGAACCAGGAAUUCCUUGUAAUCGUGAUUCAUCACAUCACGAUGAAUACGUCCCUGCCCUUUGUACACACCGCCCGUCGCUCCUACCGAUCGAAGAGUUAGGUGAAUUGUUUUGAUCGAUAAGAUUUGACUAUGGUCAACUCUCGUUGUGAAAUUCUGUGAAUAUGACUGUUUAGAGGAAGGAAAAGUCGUAACA
rnacentral:rRNA from 1 species